UGCGCAGGCGGCUUGGCAAGAAAGAUGUGAAAUCCCCGCGCUUAACGUGGGCAUUGCAUUUGAAACUAUGUAGCUAGAGUUCUGUAGAGGGGGGUAGAAUUCCAGGUGUAGCGGUGAAAUGCGUAGAGAUCUGGAGGAAUACCGAUUGCGAAGGCAGCCCCCUGGACAGUGACUGACGCUCAUAUGCGAAAGCGUGGGGAUCAAACAGGAUUAGAUACCCCCGUA
rnacentral:rRNA from 1 species